rnacentral:rRNA from 1 species
GACGAACGCUGGCGGCGUGCCUAACACAUGCAAGUCGAACGAACAGACCCUGCUCUUGCGGCGUGCUCGAUAGCCGAGCAGGUGUGUAUAACGCGUGUAUAAUGCACCUAUCAUUCGGAUAUCACCACGAAACACCGGAUAAUACCCGAUAGAAGCUAUUGCUGCACGGUGGUGGAUGGAAAGAUUCGGCGGUUGGGGAUGGACUGGCGGGUUAUCAGCUUGUUGGUGGGGUAGUGGCUUAAAAAGGCUUCGACGGGUAGGCGGCCUGAGAGGGUUGACGGCCACAUGGGGACUGAGAUACGGCGCAGACUCCAACGGGAGGCAGCAGUGGGGAAUAUUGCAGAAUGGGCGGAAGCCUGAUGCAGCAACGUCGCGUGCGGGAUGACGGCCUUCGGGUUGUAAACCGCUGUCGCCGGUGACGAAGCGUGAGUGACGGUAAUAGGUAAAGAAGCACCGGCUAACUACGUG